rnacentral:rRNA from 1 species
UACGUAGGGGGCAAGCGUUGUCCGGAAUCAUUGGGCGUAAAGCGCGUGUAGGCGGCUAGGUAAGUCUGCUCUGAAAGCCCGGGGCUCAACCCCGGGAGGCGGGUGGAUACUGUCUAGCUCGAGUCCGGAAGAGGAGUGUGGAAUUCCUGGUGUAGCGGUGAAAUGCGCAGAUAUCAGGAGGAACACCGGUGGCGAAGGCGGUUCUCUGGGCCUUACCUGACGCUGAGGAGCGAAAGCAUGGGGAGCAAACAGG